GGAAUAUUGGUCAAUGGACGCAAGUCUGAACCAGCCAUGCCGCGUGGAGGAUGAAGGUCCUCUGGAUUGUAAACUUCUUUUAUCGGCGAAGAAACCCAUACUUUCUAGUGUGGUUGACGGUACCCGAUGAAUAAGCACCGGCUAACUCCGCUCCAGCCGCCGCGGUAAUACGGAGGGUGCAAGCGUUAUCCGGAUUCACUGGGUUUAAAGGGUGCGUAGGUGGGUUGGUAAGUCAGUGGUGAAAACUCCGGGCUUAACUCGGAAACUGCCGUUGAUACUAUCAAUCUUGAAUGUUGUGGAGGUAAGCGGAAUAUGUCAUGUAGCGGUGAAAUGCUUAGAUAUGACAUAGAACACCGAUAGCGAAGGCAGCUUGCUACACAAUAAUUGACACUGAGGCACGAAAGCGUGGGGAUCAAA
rnacentral:rRNA from 1 species